rnacentral:misc_RNA from 1 species
UUUCCGUAGGUGAACCUGCGGAAGGAUCAUUAAAAAUGAAGCCGGGAAACCGGUCCUUCUAACCCUUGAUUAUCUUAAUUUGUUGCUUUGGUGGGCCGCGAAAGCACCGGCUUCGGCUGGAUCGUGACCGCCAGAGGACACAACUCUGUAUCAAAUGUCGUCUGAGUACUAUAAAAUAGUUAAAACUUUCAACAACGGAUCUCUUGGUUCUG